rnacentral:lncRNA from 1 species
ACUUCUGUCGCUUCGGCCAGAAGUCGUCAAACUCGGGGGGGAGUAUCACAAACUCGUCCAGGCACUUCUGUCGCUUCGGUUAGAAGUCGUCAAACUCGGGGGGGAGUAUCAUAAACUCUUCCCGACACUUCUGUCGCUUUGGCCAGAAGAUGUCAAACCUUGAGCACGAUAGAUCUGUCGCUUCGGCCAGAUCAAUCGAGGAUUUAUUGAGCAUGGGAAGGAGCGGCACGAGGAGCAGCCCCCCACAGCAAGGUCAGUAAGUCGAUAAUAAAUAUAUCCUUUAGACUGAUAUAGUUGUUUUGCGGGUUAUUUUUGUUUUGCAGGAACGAUCCUGUCGCUUCGGCCAGGAUCCACGCAUUCUGUCGCUUCGGCCAGAAUCAGACUCUAAACGAGUCGGUCCAUUUUGUCGCUAUGGCCUCAAUGGACCAAAGAAUUAUUUUGUCGCUUUGGCCUCAAUAAUUCUUCUAUCUUGUCGCUUUGGCCUUGAUAGACUUGGAGAUCAUUUUGUCGCCUUGGCCUUAAUGAUCUCGACCCACUUUGUCGCUUUGGCCUUAGUGGGGUAACCGUCGUUGCGGACAUAAAGUCGCUCUUGAUCAGGGUGGACUAUAAACAUGGGUUCUGAUAGUGAACCAGAUCCUGUCGCUUUGGCCAGGAUCCACGCAUUCUGUCGCUUGGGCCAGAAUCAGACUCUGAUAGUGAGUCACUCCAUUUUGUCGCUUUGGCCUUAAUGGAUGGGAGUUAUUUUGUCGCUUUGGCCUUAAUAAUCUCCCUUCAUCUUGUCGCUUUGGCCUUGAUGAUAACACAGAAAGAGUCGCUCCUGAUCAGAGUCGGACUAUAAACACGUAGUUCUAUUGGCCUGGGACUAGAUUCUAAUAGUGAAUCAACCCAUCUGAUAGUGCAUGGGUAACGGAGUCAUUGUGUCGCUGUGGCCACAUUGACUCGAUCCCAUCUUGUCGCUUUGGCCUUGAUGCGGAUCACCUUGCUCGGGGGGGGGAGACUGAGGCUACACGGGUGUUUUGCCAUGCUCUCUUCAGGGGGGAGUACUGGUGAGACAUGCCUGAACACGUCAGUCACUCCCAGCAACGCCCUUCGACAAGG